GCCUAACACAUGCUAGUCGAGCGGAAACGAUCCUAGCUUGCUAGGAGGCGUCGAGCGGCGGACGGGUGAGUAACGCGUGAGAAAUCUACCCAUGAGUGGGGGACAACCCGGGGAAACUCGGGCUAAUACCGCAUACGCCCUACGGGGUAAAGCAGGGGACCUUCGGGCCUUGCGCUGAUGGAUGAGCUCGCGUCGGAUUAGCUUGUUGGUGAGGUAAAGGCUCACCAAGGCGACGAUCCGUAGCUGGUCUGAGAGGAUGAUCAGCCACACCGGGACUGAGACACGGCCCGGACUCCUACGGGAGGCAGCAGUGGGGAAUCUUGGACAAUGGGGGCAACCCUGAUCCAGCCAUGCCGCGUGUGUGAAGAAGGCCUUCGGGUUGUAAAGCACUUUCAGCAGGGAGGAAGGCUUCGGGCUAAUACCCUGGAGUACUUGACGUUACCUGCAGAAGAAGCACCGGCUAAUUUCGUGCCAGCAGCCGCGGUAAUACGAAAGGUGCAAGCGUUAAUCGGAAUUACUGGGCGUAAAGCGCGCGUAGGCGGUGUGUUAAGUCGGAUGUGAAAGCCCAGGGCUCAACCUUGGAAUUGCAUCCGAUACUGGCACGCUUAGAGUGCAUUUCAGGGAGGUGGA
rnacentral:rRNA from 1 species